AGUGCCAUCCUUGCACAGCCUGCAGAACUGUGGAGAGAGAGAAAACCGAUUUUUUCUGUGAAAAGUGAUUCAAGAAAGAAAGUCAUCAGUUCAGAAAUUUAUACCAUGGAAAUUACUAGAGAUCUCUUCAAAGACUUAUUUCCAAGGAUAUGGACUGAAGUAUUUUUUAUAAAUCCGGGAAAUAAUUGAAAUGUAGCACAAAAUGGAUCAGAUCUCCAGGGAUCAAGGAAAGGAGAGGUCACAUCUGCUUGUGGACAAUGAGGAAAUUGCCUCUGGAAAGGCUGGCAUUGGAGAUGCCCUUCGACGAAUCAGCGAUAGAGAAAAGAGGGAGGACAGAAGGAGAGAGAAGAGAUGGA